GAUGAAGAACGUAGCGAAAUGCGAUACGUAGUGUGAAUUGCAGAAUCCAGUGAAUCAUCGAAUCUUUGAACGCACAUUGCGCCCGCCGGCAUCCCGGCGGGCAUGCCUGUUCGAGCGUCAUUUCAACCCUCGGGAGCCCCUGGGGAAUCUUCCUCCCAGGGGCGCCCGGCGUUGGGGAUCGGGGGCCGCCUGGCCUUUGCUCAGGCGCCCCGUCCCCCAAAUGCAGUGGCGGCCGCGCCGUCGCCUCCCCGCGUAGUAGCAACACGUCGCGGCGGAGAGGGCGGCGCGUCCACGCCGUGAAACACCCAACUCUUCUGAAGUUGACCUCGAAUCAGGUAGGAAUACCCGCUGAACUUAAGCAUAUCAAUAAGCGGAGGA
rnacentral:misc_RNA from 1 species